CGGAAGUGACCAGGCUCUGGACCCUGGCCAAGGGUGGACUGAGAACAGGAGUGGAUCUGCAGGAAAGCAGCCACAGAGCCCGGAUACACACUGUUUCCAGAGGAGUCAUCUUGGCCUUAAGUCCCAGAUGGCCCAGAUUUGAGUUUGGGUCAACAAGUUCUGGCUAUUACAUAGACUGGUCUCUUACAACUUAGCUGACAAUGGAGACUGGGAAACAUUCCAGAUCAAAGACCUAAAUCUUGCCAUCUCUUAAGCGGCUGUCAAGCUAAGAUUGCUACUCAGUCAAGUCCUGCACUUGUGUGUGGGAUGCAAGAGGAAAGGAUGUGAUUUGAACACCACCAUUGCCAGAAGGAUGGAGACAGAGGAAUGACACUCGGGUUCUCAGACCAAUACUCAGGAGGCAGAGCCAAGAGGAUCUGAAGUUGGGGGCCAGCCUCAAAGAGGAGGAGGAAGAGGAGGAGGAGAGUGAGGGAAAGAAGUGGAUGAAGAGAAAGAGGGAGAAGAUGAAGAGAAAGAGGGAGAAGAUGAAGAGAAAGAGGGAGAAGAUGAAGAGAAAGAAUUCUUUUUUAUCACCUCCUACCGUGACCUCUUCACCUCUCCCAGGAUCAUAUGGAAAAUGGGGGUAGCAGGCAGAGUAAAAGAACCCCCGUGAGAAGUGUUGCUGUACACAGAGUCACAAGGAAGGUCUAUGACCGCAGAAUGUGUCUGUCUAUCUUCAAGGGGAUGUAUUUAUCUCAUGACAACUAGCUGGGUGGAUUAAUCAUCAUUUGCUUACAAACUAAUUCCUGCCAAUGGAUAUGGCAGCUGUUUCCACUACUUUUCAGUUGUUCAUAAUAGUGCUGUCUAACCCUUUAUAAACAUGUGUUUACGUGUGUGUUUGUGGGCAUUGACUUGUGUGCACUUGUGUGGCUGCAGGGCCAACAUGCAUUGUGGUAGCUUUGUCAAAAAGUUCCC
rnacentral:lncRNA from 1 species